rnacentral:rRNA from 1 species
AACGUAGGUACCGAGCGUUAUCCGGAUUCACUGGGCGUAAAGCGCGUGUAGGCGGUUCGGUAAGUCCGCUGUGAAAGUCGGGGGCUCAACCCUCGGAUGCCGGUGGAUACUGUCGAGCUCGAGUACGGAAGAGGCGAGUGGAAUUCCUGGUGUAGCGGUGAAAUGCGCAGAUAUCAGGAGGAACACCAAUUGCGAAGGCAGCUCGCUGGGACGUUACUGACGCUGAGACGCGAAAGCGUGGGGAGCAAACAGG